rnacentral:rRNA from 1 species
GACGAACGCUGGCGGCGUGCCUAACACAUGCAAGUCGAGCGGAGAUGUACUGAAGAUUUAUCGGAUGUACAUCUUAGCGGCGGACGGGUGAGUAACGCGUGGGCAACCUGCCUUCCACUGGGGGAUAACACAGGGAAACCUGUGCUAAUACCGCAUGACAUCACAUAGGGCAUCCUGUGUGAUCAAAGGAGUGAUCCGGUGGAAGAUGGGCCCGCGUCCGAUUAGCUAGUUGGUGAGGUAACGGCUCACCAAGGCGACGAUUGGUAGCCGAACUGAGAGGUUGAUCGGCCACAUUGGGACUGAGACACGGCCCAGACUCCUACGGGAGGCAGCAGUGGGGAAUAUUGCGCAAUGGGGGGAACCCUGACGCAGCAACGCCGCGUGAAGGAAGAAGGCCUUCGGGUUGUAAACUUCUUUGAUCGGGGACGAAAAUGACGGUACCCGAGGAACAAGCCACGGCUAACUACGUG